GACGAACGCUGGCGGCGUGCCUAAUACAUGCAAGUAGAACGCACAGUUUAUACCGUAGCUUGCUACACCAUAGACUGUGAGUUGCGAACGGGUGAGUAACGCGUAGGUAACCUGCCUGGUAGCGGGGGAUAACUAUUGGAAACGAUAGCUAAUACCGCAUAAUAUUGAUUAUUGCAUGAUAAUUGAUUGAAAGAUGCUAUUGCAUCACUACCAGAUGGACCUGCGUUGUAUUAGCUAGUAGGUGAGGUAACGGCUCACCUAGGCGACGAUACAUAGCCGACCUGAGAGGGUGAUCGGCCACACUGGGACUGAGACACGGCCCAGACUCCUACGGGAGGCAGCAGUAGGGAAUCUUCGGCAAUGGACGAAAGUCUGACCGAGCAACGCCGCGUGAGUGAAGAAGGUGUUCGGAUCGUAAAGCUCUGUUGUAAGAGAAGAACGGGUGUGAGAGUGGAAAGUUCACACUGGGACGGUAUCUUACCAGAAAGGGACGGCUAACUACGU
rnacentral:rRNA from 1 species